rnacentral:rRNA from 2 species
GGUGGGGUCUAAUACAUGCAAGUCGAGCGAACUGAUUAGAAGCUUGCUUCUAUGACGUUAGCGGCGGACGGGUGAGUAACACGUGGGCAACCUGCCUGUAAGACUGGGAUAACUUCGGGAAACCGAAGCUAAUACCGGAUAGGAUCUUCUCCUUCAUGGGAGAUGAUUGAAAGAUGGUUUCGGCUAUCACUUACAGAUGGGCCCGCGGUGCAUUAGCUAGUUGGUGAGGUAACGGCUCACCAAGGCAACGAUGCAUAGCCGACCUGAGAGGGUGAUCGGCCACACUGGGACUGAGACACGGCCCAGACUCCUACGGGAGGCAGCAGUAGGGAAUCUUCCGCAAUGGACGAAAGUCUGACGGAGCAACGCCGCGUGAGUGAUGAAGGCUUUCGGGUCGUAAAACUCUGUUGUUAGGGAAGAACAAGUACGAGAGUAACUGCUCGUACCUUGACGGUACCUAACCAGAAAGCCACGGCUAACUACGUGCCAGCAGCCGCGGUAAUACGUAGGUGGCAAGCGUUAUCCGGAAUUAUUGGGCGUAAAGCGCGCGCAGGCGGUUUCUUAAGUCUGAUGUGAAAGCCCACGGCUCAACCGUGGAGGGUCAUUGGAAACUGGGGAACUUGAGUGCAGAAGAGAAAAGCGGAAUUCCACGUGUAGCGGUGAAAUGCGUAGAGAUGUGGAGGAACACCAGUGGCGAAGGCGGCUUUUUGGUCUGUAACUGACGCUGAGGCGCGUAAUACCUCCCCU